CAAGGCAUUCAUUAUUGCUAUUGUGAGUACAUCGAGGUCUCAAAUAGACAAAUGACGUCGAUACAACGCCUUAGUACAUAUAACUUGGAACGAAAAUCAAUGUCUAGCCGAUGACAUCAAAGUCAUGGGUAGCUAGAGCAGGAUCCGAAUCUUUGAAAUUCGCGAUCAUGAGGAUGACGUUCUUGUCCUCAUAUUGAUUUUCCAUACCUUUUUGUAUGCAUUCACAAUUUAAAGGAGCUUGACAAUCUUGAACCAGUGAUCCGAAGAUCCACAACGGUUGCAUUAAUGUCAUGAGCUGACGUGAGUAGUUUUGACAAAAUGGUGUCUAGACCGGGAGUGUCGCUAUUAGAGCCGGCAACACCUCCCCCUCUUUUCUAGACAUCGGCACGACGUUUUCUGCUGUUGCCAUGACCCAUAUUGUUGUCCCCACAUUAGGGGAUAAUCCCAAAUAAGUUUAUCACGUUAGCGUAUAUACAAUUCUUGUUUGUAUGAUCAAAAUCAAGUCUCGUUGGUAAUUCCACACCAACUUGGAGGACCUAGAGAACUUGAUGAUGAUCGAAUCCGCUAAAGAUUAUGGAUCAUGAUGCCACAAAAGAUCAUCGACAAUAUGUAGUCAAUUAAGGUGGUAAGCAAUCCACUUGUCUAAUAACUCAACAAGGAGAGUUAUAUGAACGUUUCGAGAAACGCUCCAUGAGUGCAUUCCACAGUACUUUGUGGUCAUUACUUUUUACACAGAUUGUCAUUGAAGGCUUUUGUCGAUGUGGCAUCUCGGCAUCUAGGCUUGCUAGCCUGGGGGUCAAAACAUGUGGUUUAAUCAUUUCCAAUGAAAGGUUCCACAGAUACCAAGCGAAGAUCCGCCUUAGGCAUCUAGUACGUCAAAACUCAAAGGAGCAGAAUGUUAUAUUGCUCUUGCAUACAAAACCAAGCUGUUAUGAGACUUGAUAGAGGUCACAAACAAUGCUUUUAAUGGUUUGUCCUUCGGAUUGAUCAUACACAAUCCGGAAAAGCCGCGAAUUGAUCAAACACAAUUCGGAAAAAGGCCUCGGAUUGAUCAAACACAACCCGGACAAAGAAACAAGAGUGAUCAAACACACUCUUGACCCGCGAAUAAAAUUCCGGGAUUUGGGUACUUGCACGCACAAAAACCCAAGCAUAGAAUGGAGAUGGAGAAGGGAGGAAAGGAUUUUAUCCUCCCCGAGUUAUUGAACUUGGAAAAGUUUAAGGUUUCAAAAAACAUACCUUUCUAGAGGCUGCGGAGAGGAGAAAUAACGUUUCGCCUACUUAUACUUCGAAUUUGGGGCUGAAAAUUUGAUAGGAGGAGCAGCUCUGGAUGGGGAAGCUGCUGUCAAAAUUUCAGGUUGAUCGGAGCAAGGGAAGGUGGUGAACCGGUGGUCGGUAGCGGCGGCGUUCUGGAAUCUUCCGGCGGCCGGUUCGGAGACUUUCCGGCCGGUUCUCAGGGUGAGACCGGC
rnacentral:lncRNA from 1 species